rnacentral:tRNA from 1 species
CAGCUCAGUGGGUAAUAGCAUGGGACUCUUAAUCUUGGGGCUGUGGGUUCGAGUCCCACACGG